UACGGGGGGGGGCAAGCGUUGUUCGGAAUUACUGGGCGUAAAGGGCCAGUAGGCGGCCAACUAAGUCCGACGUGAAAUCCCAAGGCUUAACCUUGGAACUGCGUCGGAUACUGGAUGGCUUGAAUUCGGGAGAGGGAUGCAGAAUUCCAGGUGUAGCGGUGAAAUGCGUAGAUAUCUGGAGGAAUACCGGUGGCGAAGGCGGCAUCCUGGACCGACAUUGACGCUGAGGAGCGAAAGCCAGGGGAGCAAACGGG
rnacentral:rRNA from 1 species